GACCUUCAGAUCCGAUAGUCACCGAUUGUUUCCAUCCAACACAGUUCCCUCCGAUGGCGGCAAGUCACGAAGCAGCAGCAGUGCUCGAGGUGCUGGUGGAUUAUCGACUGCCAGCUCUACUGAAUUUCUCUAUCUUGGAACAUUAAUCAAUUCUCGUGGAAUAGAUGCUAGUACAGUAGUUGAUUCUGCUGCUGCAAAUGCUUCUCCUUAUCAAAAUGCUUCUCCUUAUCAAAAAUUGGGUUCACCUGAGCUUCACCCACUUCCACCACUUGCUCGCCAUCAUCAUUUCAGGCGAAAUGUCCAUCAGCAACAGAAGAAGAGGAAGAAGAAGAAGAAGAAGAAGAAGAAGAAGAAGAAGAAGAGUUUUACUCUCCAAGAGGAUCUUCUGGUGGUAAAGAUAGUCCUAAUUUUAUUAAUGGAUCCACUUCUAGAAGAGUGUUUACAACAACUGAUACUGAUAUAUUGAUGACUACUGAUCAUCAUAGAAUCUCAUCAUCAACUUCCAGUAAUCCUCCUUCUUACCCAACUUCAAAUUCUGUUUCACCUAAUCAUCCAUUAGUUUCUAACACUCCUUCACCUUCACCUUCACCUUCACCUUCACCUUCACCUUCACCUUCACCUUCACCUUCAAGUGGAUUAAUUUCUACUGCUACUACUACUAGCUCUCCCUCUCCAUCUGCUUGCUCUACUCCCAGAAGCUUCAAGUCUAAUAGAUUUCCACAUUCUGUUGUUACCAAACUGAAACUAUCUUCUCCUCCUCCACCACCACCACCUCCACUUCGUCCCUUGACCCCAUCACCUCCCAAGAGAAAACCACCUUCACCAUCUCCACCUUAUUCGCCACCAAGAUCGGAGAGAGAUUUUAAUCCUACAAGAGCUAGUACUGGUGGUCUUUUAAGGCAGCCUACUCCACCACCACCACCUCCUCCUCCUCCUCCUCCACCUCCUCCACCACCAUAUAAAUUCUGGGAAACCCCUCUUCCUCCAGCACAGAUACAUAGUACCACAUUUUCUAGACCCCCAGUUCUUAUUACUCCUCUUAAACCUGUUGUGUUCCAGAAUCCUGCUGUGGUUGCCCCUGCUGAGUUUAUGCAGAAUCC
rnacentral:lncRNA from 1 species